AUUGGAGAUGCUCUUAGACAUCUAAGAUUCUAGCUGCCCACGAUAAUAAUC
rnacentral:sRNA from 1 species